rnacentral:rRNA from 2 species
CCUUUAUUAUGGCUCAGGAUGAACGCUAGCUACAGGCUUAACACAUGCAAGUCGAGGGGCAGCGGGAUUGAAGCUUGCUUCAAUUGCCGGCGACCGGCGCACGGGUGAGUAACGCGUAUCCAACCUUCCGUACACUCAGGGAUAGCCUUUCGAAAGAAAGAUUAAUACCUGAUGGUAUGAUGAGAUUGCAUGAUAGCAUCAUUAAAGAUUUAUCGGUGUACGAUGGGGAUGCGUUCCAUUAGGUAGUAGGCGGGGUAACGGCCCACCUAGCCAACGAUGGAUAGGGGUUCUGAGAGGAAGGUCCCCCACAUUGGAACUGAGACACGGUCCAAACUCCUACGGGAGGCAGCAGUGAGGAAUAUUGGUCAAUGGACGAGAGUCUGAACCAGCCAAGUAGCGUGAAGGAUGAAGGUCCUACGGAUUGUAAACUUCUUUUAUAAGGGAAUAAACCCUCCCACGUGUGGGAGCUUGUAUGUACCUUAUGAAUAAGCAUCGGCUAACUCCGUGCCAGCAGCCGCGGUAAUACGGAGGAUGCGAGCGUUAUCCGGAUUUAUUGGGUUUAAAGGGAGCGCAGACGGGUCGUUAAGUCAGCUGUGAAAGUUUGGGGCUCAACCUUAAAAUUGCAGUUGAUACUGGCGUCCUUGAGUGCGGUUGAGGUGUGCGGAAUUCGUGGUGUAGCGGUGAAAUGCUUAGAUAUCACGAAGAACUCCGAUUGCGAAGGCAGCACACUAAUCCGUAACUGACGUUCAUGCUCGAAAGUGUGGGUAUCAAACAGGAUUAGAUACCCUGGUAGUCCACACGGUAAACGAUGGAUACUCGCUGUUGGCGAUAUACUGUCAGCGGCUUAGCGAAAGCGUUAAGUAUCCCACCUGGGGAGUACGCCGGCAACGGUGCAGCUCAAAGGAAUUGACGGA